UUUUAAAAUACAGGUCAUGAUAAAAUAAGGUUAGAAGUCCUUUCCAAAUGAAGAGUUAUCUAAACUAAGAACUAGUAGAAGUCCUAAGAACUCGGAGCUGGGUCUUCUUUAGUCUCCAACGCUUGCUCCAAAGGCCUCAUAAUCAGCUUCUGCUCACAUCCAAAGAUUUGGAUGAUUAUCGCAAGGGGAAAAUCACACACAUACAAAACACACAAUCGCAAGGGUAAGCUAGGUAAGCAUGUUAUCAAUCAAGUAUUUCAAGCAUGUAAGGACCAUGACACCAUACAAACUAUGACCAAAUGCAUUUUGUUGAUAAUAAUGACCGACCACGUGAUUUAACCAUCCAGACUAGUAUGAAAUGUCGAGUUCCA
rnacentral:lncRNA from 1 species